AUUGAACGCUGGCGGAAUGCUUUACACAUGCAAGUCGAACGGCAGCACGGGGGCAACCCUGGUGGCGAGUGGCGAACGGGUGAGUAAUACAUCGGAACGUGCCCAGUCGUGGGGGAUAACGAAGCGAAAGCUUUGCUAAUACCGCAUACGAUCUACGGAUGAAAGCGGGGGAUCGCAAGACCUCGCGCGAUUGGAGCGGCCGAUGGCAGAUUAGGUAGUUGGUGGGGUAAAGGCUUACCAAGCCUACGAUCUGUAGCUGGUCUGAGAGGACGACCAGCCACACUGGGACUGAGACACGGCCCAGACUCCUACGGGAGGCAGCAGUGGGGAAUUUUGGACAAUGGGCGCAAGCCUGAUCCAGCAAUGCCGCGUGCAGGAUGAAGGCCUUCGGGUUGUAAACUGCUUUUGUACGGAACGAAAAGCUCUGGGUUAAUACCUCGGGGUCAUGACGGUACCGUAAGAAUAAGCACCGGCUAACUACGUGCCAGCCGCCGCCGUAA
rnacentral:rRNA from 1 species